rnacentral:rRNA from 1 species
AGAGUUUGAUCCUGGCUCAGGACGAACGUUGGCGGCGGGCUUAACACAUGCAAGUCGCACGAGAAAGGGUCCUUCGGGACCUGAGUAAAGUGGCGAACGGGUGCGUAACGCGUAGGCCACCUGCCCUGAAGCGGGKAAUAACUGCCGGAAAUGGCAGCUAAUACCUCAUAACGUCCAKAGGUUACAUGACUUCUGGAUCAAAUCCCGACUUAUGUUGGGAGCUUUGGGAUGGGCCUGCGUCGGAUUAGCUGGUUGGUGAGGUAACGGCUCACCAAGGYGACGAUCCGUAGCUGGUCUGAGAGGAUGAUCAGCCACRCUGGCACUGAGACACGGGUCAUACUCCUACGGGAGGCACCAKUGGGGAAUCUUGCGCAAUGGAGGCAACUCUGACGCAGCCACGCCGCGUGCGGGAAGACCCCCCUWUGGGGCGUAAACCGCUUUUCUGCGAGAAGAAGGCGCCGGUCUCCGGCCUUUGACGGUCACCGCAGGAAUAAGGACCGGUA